AUGAAUCUAGUGAAGACUAAUAACUACACAUACACAACCUAAUACACGAAAUACAACUAAACAAAUUCUGAGCUAUAAAGCUCCCUUUUUAUUCAUGCUUCGAACUUCAGCUACAUUGUGUACCACUGUAAUAGUUGUGUACCUGGUAUUUGGGGGAAAAAAGAAAGAGAUGAAGAUCAGUAUUACAAUAGCACAAGCACAGCAGAUUUAACAACAAACAGUUUCAGCAAAACCAGUAGAAAGAAUCCCAGGAAAGAUUGCAAAUUAGAUAGGAGGAAACCCAAGAGAUCAAUGUAACACUACUUGGACACAAAAUAACUCAGCAACACCCAAAUGAGUACCAGAAGCUAAACACUAACAGAAAACCAAGAACUUACACACCACAAAUCUAAUAACACGCACGAAUGCACUCACAGUUAGGUUUAGAGUUAGACAGAUGCAAAGAAUAGUGUUUCUAAUUGCCAACAGUCAAAGAAAACCAACUGAACUUUUAAGUAAAAACUCAUCUUAAAGUCACUCUUUAAUUCGGAAAUUUAGUUCAACUUUCAACCCCACCCUCUAUCUAUUUCUCUGAAAAUUCUUUUAACCUUUGUGAUUUUCAAAAGACUCUCUCAAAGAAGUUAUCAAAACAGUGAGGUUUUUGUUCUGUUUCUUUUUUG
rnacentral:lncRNA from 1 species